rnacentral:rRNA from 1 species
GGAUAACCUACCCUUAGGACUGGGAUAACCCUGGGAAACUGGGGAUAAUACUAGAUAGGCAAUUUUUCCUGGAAUGGUUUUUUGUUUAAAUGUUUUUUCGCCUAAGGAUGGGUCUGCGGCCGAUUAGGUAGUUGGUUAGGUAACGGCUUACCAAGCCAUUGAUCGGUACGGGUUGUGAGAGCAAGAGCCCGGAGAUGGAACCUGAGACAAGGUUCCAGGCCCUACGGGGUGCAGCAGGCGCGAAACCUCCGCAAUGUGAGAAAUCGCGACGGGGGGAUCCCAAGUGCCAUUCUUAACGGGAUGGCUUUUCAUUAGUGUAAAGAGCUUUUGGAAUAAGAGCUGGGCAAGACCGGUGCCAGCCGCCGCGGUAACACCGGCAGCUCUAGUGGUAACAAUUUUUAUUGGGCCUAAAGCGUCCGUAGCCGGUUUAAUAAGUCUCUGGUGAAAUCCUGCAGCUUAACUGUGGGAAUUGCUGGAGAUACUAUUAGACUUGAGACCGGGAGAGGUUAGAGGUACUCCCAGGGUAGAGGUGAAAUUCUGUAAUCCUGGGAGGACCGCCUGUUGCGAAGGCGUCUAACUGGAAUGGUUCUGACGGUGAGGGACGAAAGUUAGGGGCGCG